ACUCCUACGGGAGGCAGCAGUGGGGAAUAUUGCACAAUGGGGGAAACCCUGAUGCAGCCAUGCCGCGUGUGUGAAGAAGGCCUUCGGGUUGUAAAGCACUUUCAGUAGGGAGGAAGGUAGUGUAGUUAACACCUGCAUUAUUUGACGUUACCUACAGAAGAAGCACCGGCUAACUCCGUGCCAGCAGCCGCGGUAAUACGGAGGGUGCGAGCGUUAAUCGGAAUUACUGGGCGUAAAGCGCAUGCAGGCGGCCUGUUAAGUCAGAUGUGAAAGCCCGGGGCUUAACCUCGGAAUUGCAUUUGAAACUGGCAGGCUAGAGUCUUGUAGAGGGGUUAGAAUUUCAGGUGUAGCGGUGAAAUGCGUAGAGAUCUGAAGGAAUACCAGUGGCGAAGGCGGCCCCUGGACAAAGACUGACGCUCAGAUGCGAAAGCGUGGGAGCAAACAGGAUUAGAUACCCCGUGGUAGCGACUGA
rnacentral:rRNA from 1 species